GCAGGUGUGGGCGCGGGGCCGCGCGGCGGGCCGGCGGGAGUGGCGGGCGCUCGGUGCAUGGGCCAGUGAGGGCGCGCGGAGAUCCCCCGGCCGCGGCGGAGGCGGAGCGGCGCGGGAGCCAGGCGCUGCCCGCGACCCUGCGUCCGAGCGAGCGGAACCCUGCGCUUCGCCCGGGGACGGUCCGAAGUCCGCGCUAUGGAAGAGGAGAAAUAUUUGCCUGAGCUGAUGGCAGAGAAAGAUAGCCUGGAUCCAUCUUUUGUGCAUGCAUCGCGCCUUUUGGCGGAAGAAAUUGAAAAAUUUCAAGGUUCUGAUGGAAAAAAGGAAGAUGAAGAAAAGAAGUAUCUUGAUGUCAUCAGCAACAAAAACAUCAAGCUCUCAGAAAGGGUACUGAUUCCUGUCAAACAGUAUCCAAAGUUCAAUUUUGUGGGGAAAUUGCUUGGACCAAGAGGAAACUCCUUGAAGAGGCUACAGGAAGAAACAGGUGCUAAAAUGUCUAUCCUGGGCAAAGGAUCAAUGAGAGAUAAAGCGAAGGAAGAAGAACUAAGGAAGAGUGGGGAAGCCAAAUAUGCCCACUUGAGUGAUGAACUUCAUGUAUUAAUUGAAGUGUUUGCGCCACCUGGGGAAGCUUAUUCACGUAUGAGUCAUGCAUUGGAAGAGAUUAAAAAAUUCUUGGUUCCUGACUACAAUGAUGAAAUUCGUCAGGAACAACUACGUGAAUUGUCUUACUUAAAUGGCUCAGAGGACUCUGGUCGUGGCAGAGGUAUUAGAGGCAGAGGGAUCAGAAUAGCUCCCACAACUCCUUCAAGGGGCCGUGGGGGUGCCAUUCCUCCUCCCCCGCCACCUGGACGAGGUGUGCUCACCCCUCGAGGGACCACUGUGACCCGUGGAGCUCUUCCAGUGCCCCCUGUAGCAAGAGGUGUCCCUACCCCACGAGCCAGGGGGGCACCAACAGUGCCAGGAUACAGGGCACCCCCUCCUCCAGCCCACGAGACUUAUGAGGAAUAUGGGUAUGAUGAUGGCUACGGGGGUGAAUAUGAUGACCAGACAUAUGAGACUUAUGAUAACAGCUAUGCCACCCAAACGCAAAGCGUGCCUGAGUACUAUGACUACGGUCAUGGAGUAAGUGAGGAUGCCUAUGACAGCUACGCACCAGAAGAAUGGGCCACAAGCCGCUCCAGCCUGAAGGCACCGCCGCCAAGGUCAGCCAGAGGGGGAUACAGGGAGCACCCCUAUGGUAGAUAUUGAAGGUCUCCUCACCGUGACCUCACCUCAAAGACAAUUCAUAGCCUGUGGUCUCCACAUAAACAGCAACGAGACAAGUACACACAAGCAAAGAGCACAUAAUUGAAUGGCAGAUGCGAUGGGCCAAGAAAGAUAGAGGUAAGCUUAUUUUUGAUCUACUCUGAAAUAGAUACUCGUUACCAACCAGAAGCUAUGGCAGUGAGCUAAACACCAAAUGACCCUGUUGAAAUACUGAAACGGUUGAGAUUGUUGUCAAAGAACUGAGUUAUUUUUAUCUUCUUUGAAAUAAAGUGAUCUAACUUGCUAUUUACCUGGCAAGGCUUUCUGAGCUUAUUCAGAAGCUUGUCAAAGGAAAUGUGAAUUAGUGGUUAAUCUUCAGCCCUUUUCUUUGCUAUGAACUACGAUAUAUUACCUCUCCUUACUUGUACAAAGAAAGAAUAUUAAAACUUCUACUCUGCGAUCAAGAGAAGAAAAUCACAUUUGUCAGGUGAGAUGGAGGGACGGGAAAGGGAACCCCAUAACCAACCCCUUGCCUACCCUUUGUCAAUGAGAUAAUGUAUUAACAUUUAUUUGGUCAAAUAAAAUAAACAUUACCAUUAUUCUCCCCAUUGAUCUCACCAUAUUUAUCCCUAACUUUUUCCUCAUCUGCCAUUCGCACACAGGGAGUUGAAAACCUUAGCCAGUAAACCUCAGACUGAAAACAGCGCCAGGGCAGUUACGAAGUCCACAGACUGACCUGACACUUAGAAUUGAAAUGGCCUUGCCACGACGUUUGAAACAGGGCUAAAAACCCAAGUUUUCUCCUUUUGGAUCUGGCUUUCUUUUUCCUACACAAAUAUGGCCUUUAGAGAAGUGCCACAGGAGAGGUCUGAGAGAGCCUGGAGCUUCCUUAUGACUGGAGGUAGGACAGAGACUGGGGGACCUUUGCGGGUGGACUGGAAUGCAGGGGGUAGCCUGUCCGUGAGGAGGAAGGGAGCACCGCCUGGUGAGGGGAAUAGGCUGCGUCAACUCAGGAAGUGUUUGAGAGAAAGGAGAAGGUCAGUGAGUCCUGAGGGCCAGAUUCAGAAAGGUGCAGAGCGAAAGCAGAGCCUGGAGAGGUGAGCCGCAUCAGCUCCCAGUUGGCCCUGAGUACUGUGUUAAAGCAUUCAGAUUUUAUGGGAACAAUAAAAUGAAGCCGCUGUAGGUUUGAAGUAAAGAAUGAGAGCUAUUCCUAAGGAAACCAUCACAAGCAACCAGGGAAAACCUCACAUUUAGUCAUUUUUACAAUUACCAACUGCCUCUUCAUCCAAGAUAGCUUUUCUAAAAUUCAAACUGUUAAAAUAGUUAUUUAAUACCACAUGUGCUUCAACUCAUCAAGUCCCUUUGUUAAGCCGCAGAAUCAAAGAUUGAAAGUUAUAAAGAAUGCAAUUCUCAAAUUUUAUUUAUCAGUAACAUUCCUUAUCUGAUUUGAGUCUUAAAAAUGUUACAGUUUUUAUAAGGCAAGGAAAGGGAGAAUCUCUAAUCCAGAUAUCUUGCAUAUUUUUCUCCUUUGAUCCUUUGCAAACAAUAAGCUUGAGCUUGUAAUGAAAGAGAAAGCGGUCACAGUUUGUUACUAUUUUGAUAUAUUAAUCAAUAUUUUUGGAUCCAUUGUACUUAUUUUAUUGUUACUGUUUUUAUUGUUUUAUAAUCCUGUGGAUCUCUUACCAUUCAGACGAGAUCUUUGAUUGCAUUAACUCAGGGCGGAGCUAUCACAGCCGAAACCCCAGUGCUGAACACGAGACGAGAACCUUCUUGACUUUUGUGUUUAAAAGUCAGAGUUCUUAAAGCUCAAAAACAAUGAUUUGUGAGAAAGGGGAUUUUGAGCUUCAAAAGCCUGCAUUUUGAGUAACAUGACUCUGAUGGACUUUGGACAUAAAGUGUGUGUGUUAACAGUAUAUUUAAAAGACUCUCAUUCAAAAAUUAAUUACUUAAUAAAAGUCUCCCAUCCACCUGCCUCCGUGCAUCUACAAGAUAAGAUUGUCCAGCAUAAGAAGAGAGCUCCAGAGGCAGCAAUAUCUGAUAUAGUGGUGUAAGAUGUUAGUGUGGCCUUGAGUAUGGGGUCUGUGCACCGUUAUCAGUUACCCAACAGAAGCCUCAGCUAGGCUUGGAACACAGAGGGGACCUUUGUCUCAGCGGCACCCGGGAAGGCAGCGAGCUUCACCAAGUCCCCCCACCAGUGUGAUCCAUGUGCAGUCCUGUAGAACAAUGUUUCUUUAGAAUGUUUCUCCAUCCUGGCAAGUGUGGAGCGGGUGUGGCAGAGACAGCCACACACAUUCGCCUCUGCAGGAAGGCAGGGCAUGGUGCCGUAGCAUUGGCAUGGACCAACACUGACCAGGAUCCUGAUGGAUCAGUGGACACAACGUGGAAAGGUGAGAAGAUAUCUGCUCCCUGCCACCAACACCCAGGAAAGAGAGGGGGAAAAUAAAUCCCCGAAUUGAUAGAGGAACACCUGAUGAAAAUUAAUCUGAAUUGACUGAGAUUAUUUUUCUCCACCUGGGAGAAUGGGGACUUGAGACUGAAAUCAAGCUGAGGUAUAGAAAAAUAUAACCGUAUACUCAUUGUAGUCACUUAUUGCAUAACUUGCUUGACUCUUCAUCAGAAAUGAAUACAGUAGGUUUCUCUGGCAACAGGGAAUGAGAAUUUCCGUAAGUUAGCGACCUCUUGGCAGAAACGUUUGAUGGAAUGAAAACUGUUCAGAGAGUGGUCCUAACUAAUGAACAUCUGCCCUGUCACAGAUGCCUUCUUCUCUUGACAGUUUCAGAGAGUGAUGCUGGGUCCCAUUUGGAUCCCCUCAUGACAUAAUGUCUGUUCUCACAAAUUUCAAAGUUCUGGCUCCCAAAGAUAGCAGAAGAGGUAACUUGCCACUUCGGCAUUGUCUGUACAAACAUUGUCAUGUCUGACAUCCACCUCAUGCAAGUCACAUAAACUUGAAUGGCAAAUUAGGAUUUUUAAAUUACAGUACAUUCCAUCUAAGUGUAGUUUGAAGUCAUCCGUGCACAUGCUCCGUACACUUGUUCAGAUAAUAUUGUAACUCUUGAUACACUACUGAGCCUAUGUCAGCGGAGAACUCACCAAAACACCGAAGGUAGCUAGCUUGGGCACUAAACAAAGCAUUUUAAAUAGUAGUAAUAACAUUAAUAAGUAAGAAAGUCUUUGUGCCUGCUAACAUUUGUCCAACAAAAAGUUUUACUACACUCAAGUAUGAUUCAAUCAGAAUCAGUUUGAUGCCAUUUAAGAAACCAAAUAAUGCUUGAAGGUCUUAUUUGUAAUACUUAGAUAAUUUUCACUUUCAGUAUGUUAAUGGAACUAAGGCUAUUUCCCUUAAUGACAAUUGAAGCACUAACAGUUUUUAAAUAAAUUUGGCACAGAAUGACAUAUUAAAGGUUCUCAUGAAUUCUUCUAAAGGAAAUAGUUUUUUAAAGUAUAUUGGUAAAAUAUUAUUCUUGGGCAUUUAGUUCUUCACUUAAAAAUAUAUAGACUGGUUUUUUGAAAACCACAAAUGCCCCCUUAAAAUGUAACCCUUUUAAUAUAUAGCAUUCUCUCUCUCUUUAUCUCUAUGUCUCUUGGUUAACAUAAUAAUACCAGUUUGUAGGAUUUUUUUUUUAAGGGAACAGAGAAGAGUGAUCAGUGAUCAGUAAUCUGAGUUCGCCAAAUAUCAAGAGUGAGUCUCUGUAUCAAGGAGCCUCCUGUUACUGAAAAUCCCAUCCAUUGCGGGGUUCAUGGGAAGGUUCCAGUUUUCACUACAAAACGUUAUGUAGCACAUGACUGAAAAUGCCCAACUGUAGGGUAAUUUACAAAAGUGAUUACGUGAUUUCUGUUUAGUGUGAGGGUAUAGUAUUAAUAGUAAUAACAAUGCUAACAGUGGGGCCAUCUGUUUUCUGAACAUACUGCCAGGCAAAGUACCAUAGUUUUCACAUAAAAACCUACAUGAAACAUCUGUAAUCCUUAUAACAAGCUUGCAAAGGAAGUACAAUGAACUGCAUUUUACAGAAGAGGAAGUUGAAGUCCAGAGCUUUAACUAAUGUCACACUGCUAAUACAUAGCAAAGCCAGUAUUUAAAACAAAGUUUGAUAAUCUACACAUUUUCCAAAAUGCUAUAGUGAUUACCAACUUUGCAUGAAUUUGAUUGAAAAGAGAAUCCAAAAUCUCAGAUAGCCUUAACAUAAUUUCUGUUCUGCAGCAAUAUGACGAAUAUUGACUAAAAAUAUGAUUGGUAAAAUAUUUUAACUUGACAUGCAUCUUUGCUUUGAUCUUCCCUCAAAUUUGUCAUUCUUUCAAAAGUUCUGAUUCCAUCAUUGAAAAAUGUAAAUGAAGGUAUCCCACAUUUGUCAUAAAGCAUGACUACAGCCUUUCGUAGAACAAAUGAAUUCAUUUAUAAUCUAAAUGCCAUUUGACUUUAAAAAAAAACACUCGCAUGAUUAAAUAAGCAUGAAAGCAAUUUCAGGCUUUUAUUCUUCCAUCGAUAAAUCAGAACUCUGCUUUAAAGUAGGAGAGUCAAUUUCAAACCAGAAAUAUCUUUGUAUAAGCCAUGCAGUUGUGUGUUAAGAGCACAAUGUGAGGGUGUCGCUCAAUGUUAAAUAUUUUAAAACAAAGUAUUUCCUGUUGCCAAUGUAAUGUGUAACAUUUGUCUGGAUAUUCUAGUUGCCCAUUAAAACAUCUGAGUUAGCAGUAAGACAGCUCUUCUUGUUGGCUGCCAGGCACCAGUCUUCCAUAUUCAUCAUAAAGUUUAAUUUCAUAGUCUCUUUACAUGGAAUUUAUUAAUUGGUACUCAAAAGAUUAUUUACAGUAGAGGGAAAAGGUCACUCUACUUGAUAUGCUGUUUUAUAUAUAUAUAUCAGUCACCCACAUUUUAUUGUGAAAGGAACUGAGAGGAAGCUGCCUGAUUCAAACACCACUGGAUGCCUUAACAACAGCCAACUUGUCUUCCUUUACCAAAAAAGUGCAAAAUAAGACAUCUUAAAAAUUGGUAAUGAGUUCCUGAAUGCUAGUUUUGUUCAAGUUUCUGUUCCACCGUGUUUCAUACUUCACAGGGGGAUAUAGCGAAGGACCUAUUUUCAAGAGAAAUUUGGACAGUCUUGGAUCCUCUUCUUAGACCCUCUCUGGAAGCAAAUGUCACCACUAGAUGCACAUUUCCCGUCACCCUGAUGCAUCUCAGGGUGACUUCCAUCACUAGGAGAAUGUCCCCUCCCCUCUGUCUCGUUCUUUGCGCUAACACAGGUGGACUGUGUUUCCUAUAUUCUAAACUCAUAGGCUGCCUUUUCUGACACCAGGACAUUUUUCAGCUUGUCUGAUACCGUCUUGCCCCUCCUUUCACAGUGUCUUCUGUCAUUUUCCCAACUGCACAAGGGGAUAACAGAAGACAAAGAGAAAGGCAGCUGAUGACUGUAGGGGAGCGAGCACUGUCCAAUCUAUUCGACGGAGCCCCUGCGUUAAGAAACGCUUGUUGUGUUAGUUAUGAAACCAAUACAUGUCUAUUGUAAACCAAAAAGUAUGAAAAGAGAAAAAUUGCAUUUAAUUAAAAUGAAUAAAUGAUAACUGUUAACAUUUAUAUAUAACCUCCUCGUUACAAAAUCGUGAUUUCUCAGCUAUAAAGUAUAAGAGGCGGCAGUAGGUGAGAAAAUGUCUCCAAUUAAUCUAAGUUCUCCAGUCUCAAAGUAUAAAGCUUAAAAUUAGAAAUAACUAAGCUUAUGGAAUUCACUAAGAUCAAUGCAUAAAAUCUGUGAGCAGAAUAAAGCCAAUUUUAAAUGUCUUCAAACAGGGAAGAUUAUAGUUACAUUUUGCAUAAAGACAAUCUUCCUAAUGGAAUUAACAUUGAAUUUUUAAACUAUUUCUUUCAACUUUCCUUUUAGUGGUUUAAGAAUAUAAAUUUAUUGACCAGUAGAUAAUUAUUUAGAAGUAAUAUUAGAUAUGCUGCUUUGUGCUUUCUUAUAAGGCAGCAAUCUUUAAAACAAGUAAUACCACUUUCCAUCAGAGAAACUUCUCUGGAAGCCUUUUAUCAUUGGUAAUCUUUUAACUUCUUAAAGACCUUUAUUUCAUUUCUAGUGAGUAAAUCAUUCAGGCACAAAUAAUGGUUGUCUUAAAAUAUGGCAGAAUUGUCAGUGAAUUGGUAUUUUGGGAGGAGGAAUUCUUUUUUUAUAGCCUGUCUCCUUUUUUGUUAAUUACAAAAGUAAUCCAUGCUCAGGAUUUAAAGAAUGACAAUGUAUAAUGUAAAUAUGCAAUGUAAAAACCCAAAGUCUGUAAUCCGACCCCUCAGAGGAUGUUCUUUCUGAUUUUGUUUCUCUUCCUUUCCCUCUUUCCUUCCUCCGUUCCUCAGCUGCUUGUUACUUAUUUAUUCAUUUGAAAUGGGAUUCUGCUGUACACGCAUAUGCAAUUUUAAUUUUCGGAAAUGAGGUGAAUUUUGUUUCUUUGUGACAAAAUGAGCUAAUACCCACUUACACCGGGUGAUCUGUGUGUGGAGGAUUAAAUCGCGGUGUGAUCAUUUCCCUGUAAAACUGUAACCCUCAGGACGCGCUCUGGAGUGUGAGCAAAGCCACUUGAAGUUUUCAAGCUUCCGUUUUCUUAUAGGUAAAACGGGGAUAAUAAUCACACCUACUCACAGAAUUGUGAGGUGUGUAAAGUAACAUCAUACAGGAGUGUGUAUAUCCUCCCCAAAUUUAGUUAAUAUUCUCACCCAAAUUAUUUUUCCUUGACAAAAAAUUUUAAGAUACCUUCACGGUGUGUAUCAAAAGUGUAAAUGAAAGCUAGUUUAAUCCACAAAAUAUUCAUAUUAUCCAAACCACUUUGCAGCCUACACAUUUUUAAAAUAUUCUUUACUAAAAUAUUCAGCUAAUGUAGGCUUUAGAAAACAGUUGCAGAAAUGCUCGUCAUUAUAUUCAUAAGCAAACAUCUUGGGUAUCUUCAUAACAGGUAUUAUAAGACAUGUUUAUACACAAGAACCUUAUAAUAAUGUUGUACAUAUAUUGUUCACAUUGAAAUAGGACUAAAGAUGAAAGUGAGACUAACAAUAAUUUGGUAAAACUGUUUCAAUAAGAAGAAGAAGGUGCAGAAAAUGCAUGUGCAGUAAUAGAAUGCAUAAUCCAUGUGACGGACUCUAUUAAGUGUUUUUAUGAAUUACUUUAUAUAUUUUCUUGGCAAUCCUACAAUAAAAGUUCUAGGGCAUCCUCACUUCCUAAAUGAGAAAACUGAGUCUGAGAAAGGAGAAGUAACCUUCCCAAGGUCACAUCGGGCAGUGGGGUGGACUCUAAGCCCAGGCUGUCACAAUCAGAGACCUCAUCCUUAACCCCUGCAGACUACCAUCCCCUCUGACUGAUGACAAAGUUUGGUGGUAAACUAAGUUUGAGAGGGAACCAAAAUGUAAAUAUGUAAUUCAUUCUUCAAGCUAGGAAAAAGAAAUUUGAGGAAAUUCUCUUACUAUGAAUAUUGCCAAGAUCAGUAGUACAAACUUUAAAGACUGAUACUAAAUUUCUAAACACCUCUACACGCAUAAGCCAAAAUAUUCAGAAUAUCUUUUCACCCUGAAUUACCUAGAAAGUGCCUUGUAUAAUAAUUCUAAAUUCUGUAUAGGUUGUGCCUGGCUCUAUUGAUAUGACCACCUGACCACUGAUUAAAUGGAAGCCGUGUGUAUCUAAGUAUAGAACUUAGCCUUCAUGGAGGUUGGGAUAUACUAAGUAACAAAAUAACAAAAACAUCAAAGAGUAAAAAUAAACUAGAAAGAUAUAUUUCUAGAAAAAUAGUCAUGGUUACUUUCUCUUAUUUGUUUACUAGUGGCAUGCUCUAUUGUACUGACUUGUCCCAAUCCAUGUGAUUGCAAAAAUAAAAUGCAGUUUUCCUUUACUAUCUCUUGUCUCUAUAUAGAUACAUAUAUAGGUACAACAUAUAGAUAUAUGUCCUAUAUAGAUACAAUAAUAAUACACAUUAUUGAAAUGUAUUUUAUACUUUAUUAUACUUAAUAAUAGGACACCAGAACAAAAGUGACCAUGAAAAUAAGAAAAGACAUAGAUUUAGAAAGAAAAGGAAUGUAGCCAGAAGGCUGAGAAAGAUGCAUUAGAAGUGGUAAGAUGAAACAUCAAUAUGAGAAAGAGAAGCUGGACCACCCCUUGCAAACUUCAAGGAAUGUAAUGUCCUGAGAUCUAAAAGUUCCCAUAAAUUACCGUCAUGUGCAACUUAUCACAUAAGGCAGUAACUUUAGAAAUUAAAAAUACGCCUCCCCUUUAUGGCAAACACAGGACAUUCUGCUAUUGACUGCAGCUGGAGCUUCACUUGUCUGUUCCAGAGCAAUUGCUUUCAUAGAUCAUUCCGUUUUCCCUUCACUUCCACCAGCAGAUUUUUUUUCCCAUUUCAGAAAAUUUCUUUGGUGAGUAAGGAACAAAAAUUUGCACCAACCUCUCACAGUGUACAUUAGUUGAAAUUUGUACUUUUAGAAAAAUGCUGCAUAUCAUGCACCUUCAGAAUUGUUCAGGGAUAUUAAAAUAUAAGAGUACUAACUCUAUGAAUUCCAAGCAUAUGCCAAAGUAAUUUUAUCACAUUGCUUUACAAUGAUAUUGAUGUUUGAGAGAUACUGUGCUCCAACCUACACUUUAAGAAGCCUGUAGUUUGGAAAACCAUAUACUGUGAGUAAAAAAUAGACCCUGUCGGAAGCAUUAACUCUAUAAGACUCUCAAUAAUAAAAGAUGCUUAUUUAUAAUAUUUAGAUUAUUAGGAUGAUGUCUAACAUAGGAUAUUAUAAAAGGUUAAUUACUAAUAAGUAAAACUUAAUGAUGAGUUGAUUUGCUUGUUCAGAAGUAGGAGACCAUUAAUUAAUUCUCUCAGGAUUUAAGUCCAAGGUGUUUUGUGUAUUUUAAGUAACAUUCAGAUGAUUUACUGAACCCACGUAGUUUUCCAUCCCUAAUUUACCAGUUCCUUACAUCACUCGAGGAAACACUUUAACCUGCAAAUGAGACUAGAAAUGAUAGGCUGGGACUAAGUGAAACAGGUUCAAAAGAAAGUGGCCGUAUGACAAUUUACAGCUAAAAGAUAUUCAGUGGAUGCCAAAUAGUCUGCUGAGCUAGUCACAUAAGGAAAAAUGUCAUCAAGCAAAGCAUCUUGGUUUAAAGAUGUUCAAGAAAUAUUUUGGGAAAGAACAGCCAGGCUUUACCUCUCUGAUAACAAAAAUUGGAGCCCUCUUGGGAAAAGGCUUAACUUUUUAAAAUCUUAGCUAGUAUAUUGAUCCAAAUUGAUGGAAGGUGUUUAUCAAAUGUAACUAAAUGAAUCAAUAUCAACUUGCUUCUAUCGUUUUCUAAUCUGAUAUUUACGUACUAUAUGUGAUAUAUGUAAAUUAUGUCUAUUUAUAUGUAAAAUGCUAAUAUUGUAUAUGACAUUAUAUGUAUGUAUAAACAUGUAUGUGUAUGUAUAGCCAGCCAUGGUGGUCCGCUGAUUAAGAUUCAGUGCUCUCACUGCUGCAGUCGAGGCUCAUUUCCAAUCAGGGAACCACACCACCCAUCUAUCGAAUGUCUUACUGUGGCAGCUGCACGUUGCUGUGAUGCUGAAAGCUAUACCACCAGGAUAUCAAAUACCAGCUGGGUCACUCAUGGUGGACAGGUUUUAGUGGAGCUUCCAGACUGACUCAGAAAAAGGACCUGGCCACCCACUUCCAAAAGCAUUGGUCAUGAAAACUCUAUGAAUGGCAGCAGAGCAUUGCCUGAUAGAGCAAUGGAAGGUGAGAGGAUGGCACAAAAAGACUGAGCAGGGUCCCGCUCUGCUAUACACA